GACGAACGCUGGCGGCGUGCUUAACACAUGCAAGUCGAGCGGUAAGGCCCUUUCGGGGGUACACGAGCGGCGAACGGGUGAGUAACACGUGGGUGACCUGCCUUUAGCUCUGGGAUAAGCCUGGGAAACUGGGUCUAAUACUGGAUAUGACUCCACGGUGCAUGGUGUGGGGUGGAAAGCCUUGUGCGGAUAGAGAUGGGCCCGCGGCCUAUCAGCUUGUUGGUGGGGUGAUGGCCUACCAAGGCGACGACGGGUAGCCGGCCUGAGAGGGCGACCGGCCACACUGGGACUGAGACACGGCCCAGACUCCUACGGGAGGCAGCAGUGGGGAAUCUUGCGCAAUGGGCGAAAGCCUGACGCAGCGACGCCGCGUGAAGGAUGACGGCCUUCGGGUUGUAAACCUCUUUCAGCCCUGACGAAGCGAGAGUGACGGUAGGGGCAGAAGAAGCACCGGCCAACUACGUGCCAGCAGCCGCCGUAAAAC
rnacentral:rRNA from 1 species